rnacentral:rRNA from 1 species
CCAGACUCCUACGGGAGGCAGCAGUGGGGGAUAUUGGACAAUGGGGGAAACCCUGAUCCAGCGACGCCGCGUGAGUGAAGAAGUAUUUCGGUAUGUAAAGCUCUGUCAGCAGGGAAGAAAGAAGUGACGGUACCUGACCAAGAAGCCCCGACUAACUACGUGCCAGCAGCCGCGGUAAUACGUAUGGAGCAAGCGUUAUCCGGAUUUACUGGGCGUAAAGGGAGCGUAGACGGUUAUGUAAGUCUGGAGUGAAAGCCCGGGGCCCAACCCCGGGACUGCUUUGGAAACUGUGUAACUGGAGUACAGGAGGGGCAGGCGGAAUUCCUGGUGUAGCGGUGAAAUGCGUAGAUAUCAGGAGGAACACCGGCGGCGAAGGCGGCCUGCUGGACUGAAACUGACGUUGAGGCUCGAAAGCGUGGGGAGCAAACAGGAUUAGAUACCCGGGUA